rnacentral:lncRNA from 1 species
UUUGGGUAGGGAAGUUUUAAUAGUAAAAUAAACAUGGAGUAUAUUUUAACAUAUAAGACAUAAAUCUGUGUGAUGUUUUAAGAUGUUAAGGAAAAGAUGGAUAUGUGGUGGCAUAUGCCAAUAAUCCCAGAAACCUGGAGUUGGAGACAGGAGGAUUAAGAGUUCAAGGCCAGCUGGGCACAGUAGUGUACCCCUUUAGUCCUAGCACUGGUGGGUGGUACAAGUCAGGGCCAGGCAAGAGCAGCAGGGGGUAGGGACCUCAGCACCACAGCCCAGGUCUAAGCAUCCAGCUCUGUCCCAGCCAGGAGGACUCUGGCCAAGAGCCAUCUAAAAGGAGACAUAUUGAGUGAUACCUUAAUUUUCUCCUCUGAGCAAAGGGCCUGGUCGAAUUGACUUUUGGACUUUUUUAUUUUUCCUAUUCUAUGCCUGUCCAUCUCUUGUCUGAGUUAGGUUCUCACUAUAUGGCAUAGGCUAGCCUCAAGCUCUCAAUCCU